CGGUAGCUAAUACCGCAUAACGUCGCAAGACCAAAGAGGGGGACCUUAGGGCCUCUUGCCAUCGGAUGUGCCCAGAUGGGAUUAGCUAGUAGGUGGGGUAACGGCUCACCUAGGCGACGAUCCCUAGCUGGUCUGAGAGGAUGACCAGCCACACUGGAACUGAGACACGGUCCAGACUCCUACGGGAGGCAGCAGUGGGGAAUAUUGCACAAUGGGCGCAAGCCUGAUGCAGCCAUGCCGCGUGUAUGAAGAAGGCCUUCGGGUUGUAAAGUACUUUCAGCGGGGAGGAAGGGAGUAAAGUUAAUACCUUUGCUCAUUGACGUUACCCGCAGAAGAAGCACCGGCUAACUCCGUGCCAGCAGCCGCGGUAAUACGGAGGGUGCAAGCGUUAAUCGGAAUUACUGGGCGUAAAGCGCACGCAGGCGGUUUGUUAAGUCAGAUGUGAAAUCCCCGGGCUCAACCUGGGAACUGCAUCUGAUACUGGCAAGCUUGAGUCUCGUAGAGGGGGGUAGAAUUCCAGGUGUAGCGGUGAAAUGCGUAGAGAUCUGGAGGAAUACCGGUGGCGAAGGCGG
rnacentral:rRNA from 1 species